AUAUUACACAUAUUUAUAUAUAGACAUAUUGUGCAUACACAUAUCGUGUUUACUAUUCUGAAGCCGAGUCCGGUUUGUGUACUAGCUGAGAUCCGUCAUAGUGAAACUUCCCCGCAGAAUUUGCGACCUCCUCCAGAAGAAAUCCACAUAAUUGUUCUUGUAUUGUCCUGAAAACUUCGGUAUCAACAAGUCUUUUCUUCUUGGUCAUCAUCUGUGUCAUUGGCAAAUGAAUUAGAAAUACUUAAUCUAAAUUGUUUGAACAAUUGAAACUUUUUGAAGUACAAGCAAAUUUGAAAUACUUAAUCUAAUUUUUCUAAGUAUAUACACUUGGAUUGGUUUUUUAAAGUACAAGCAAAUGGAUUGAAAUACUUAAUCAAAUUUUUCUAAGUAUAUACACAUGGAAUGGUUUUCGAAGUAUAAGCAUAUGAAUUGAAAUACUUGAUCUAAUUUCUCUAAGUAUAUACACAUGGAAUAGUUUUCGAAGUAUAAUCAUAUGAAUUGAAAUACUUAAUCUAAUUUUUCUAAGAAUACACAUGGGUUGGUUUUUUCAAGUAUAAGCAUAUGAAUUGAAAUACUUAAUCUAAUUUUUCUGAGUAUAUACACAUAGAUUGAUUUUUGAAAAAUAUACACAUGAACUAAUUUAUUGUUGAAGAAUAUACGUACGGUUAAAUGGU
rnacentral:lncRNA from 1 species